rnacentral:rRNA from 1 species
AGAGUUUGAUCAUGGCUCAGAUUGAACGCUGGCGGCAUGCCUUACACAUGCAAGUCGAACGGCAGCACGGACUUCGGUCUGGUGGCGAGUGGCGAACGGGUGAGUAAUGUAUCGGAACGUACCUUUCAGUGGGGGAUAACGUAGCGAAAGUUACGCUAAUACCGCAUAUUCUGUGAGCAGGAAAGCAGGGGAUCGCAAGACCUUGCGCUGAUUGAGCGGCCGAUAUCAGAUUAGCUAGUUGGUGGGGUAAAGGCCUACCAAGGCUACGAUCUGUAGCGGGUCUGAGAGGAUGAUCCGCCACACUGGAACUGAGACACGGUCCAGACUCCUACGGGAGGCAGCAGUGGGGAAUUUUGGACAAUGGGGGCAACCCUGAUCCAGCCAUGCCGCGUGAGUGAAGAAGGCCUUCGGGUUGUAAAGCUCUUUCGGCCGGGAAGAAAUCGCAUAGGCUAAUACCCUGUGUGGAUGACGGUACCGGAAUAAGAAGCACCGGCUAACUACGUGCCAGCAGCCGCGGUAAUACGUAGGGUGCGAGCGUUAAUCGGAAUUACUGGGCGUAAAGCGUGCGCAGGCGGUUUAGUAAGACAGGCGUGAAAUCCCCGGGGCUCAACCUGGGGAACUGCGCUUGUGACUGCUAAGCUAGAGUACGGCAGAGGGGGGUGGAAUUCCACGUGUAGCAGUGAAAUGCGUAGAGAUGUGGAGGAACACCGAUGGCGAAGGCAGCCCCCUGGGCCGAUACUGACGCUCAUGCACGAAAGCGUGGGUAGCAAACAGGAUUAGAUACCCUGGUAGUCCACGCCCUAAACGAUGUCAACUAGGUGUUGGGAGGGUAAAACCUUUUAGUACC